CCCCCCCCCCCCCUCCUCCCAAUAAUUUCAGAAAGACCUUCAACGAUAGCUGAAUGACUUCGUAACAAAGAUUUAAUAUUUUUCAACCAUGAAUGCAUCAGUAGGCUAUGAGUUUAGCGAUAUAUAGAACUAAGACUUUCAGGAACUUGUAGGAGGUGGUUAUAUGUUGUCAAAUAAACAGGAAAAAAUUGAACUUUCCAUUAAGGGGUUUUCAAAUGUAAAACUGAAGUCUUACCAUUAUUAGUUUAGUAUUUACAAUUAAUGGUACUUUGUACAGGAACAUACCUUAAUGGUAUAUAUUAAACAUCAAUGGUACUUUGUACAGGAACAUACCUUAAUGGUAUAUAUUAAACAUCUGGUGUUUACCAACUUAUCAUUUGGGAAGUCUAUAAUAACCAAUGAUGGUAAGUGCUCAGUUUUUACAUUGAUACAUGGUAAAUCUUUAAGGACCAUUCAAAACCCAUUAAUGGAAAUUAACUCUGCCAAGCCCUCUCUUUUGAGAAGAAGCAAUUUCUUAAGCUCUCCUCCCUCUAUUAGGCCAUAGCCUAUCGAAGGGGAGAUGGCUGUGAAACUCAUUAGAAUAACAAUAUAUCUAUGUUACUCAUUAUCUAUGUUAGUCAACGUUUAUUCAUAAUCCGAUCCUUUCACAGUCACGUGUGUAUUGUAUGUUUACCAAAUCCAC